AGAGUUUGAUCCUGGCUCAGAACGAACGCUGGCGGCAGGCCUAACACAUGCAAGUCGAGCGCCCUCUUCGGAGGGAGCGGCGGACGGGUUAGUAACGCGUGGGAACGUGCCCUUCUCUGCGGAAUAGCCACUGGAAACGGUGAGUAAUACCGCAUACGCCCUUCGGGGGAAAGAUUUAUCGGAGAAGGAUCGGCCCGCGUUAGAUUAGGUAGUUGGUGGGGUAAUGGCCUACCAAGCCUACGAUCUAUAGCUGGUUUGAGAGGAUGAUCAGCAACACUGGGACUGAGACACGGCCCAGACUCCUACGGGAGGCAGCAGUGGGGAAUCUUAGACAAUGGGCGCAAGCCUGAUCUAGCCAUGCCGCGUGAGUGAUGAAGGCCUUAGGGUCGUAAAGCUCUUUCGCUGGGGAAGAUAAUGACUGUACCCAGUAAAGAAACCCCGGCUAACUCCGUGCCAGCAGCCGCGGUAAU
rnacentral:rRNA from 1 species